rnacentral:sRNA from 1 species
UGAAUACUGCUACAGUGGCGGGGCGGAUGCCUGCAUCCAUAGUUGGAAGAUUCCAGACCUCAGCAUGGAUCCCUAUGAUGGCUACGACCCAAGCGUGCUGAGCCACGUCCUGGAGGGCCACGGGGACGCCGUGUGGGGCCUGGCCUUCAGUCCCACCUCCCAGCGCCUGGCCUCCUGCUCUGCUGAUGGCACCGUCCGCAUCUGGGACCCCAGCAGCAGCAGCCCGGCCUGCCUCUGCACCUUCCCCACAGCCAGCGGUGAGUGGGGGCCCUGGUGCCUCACCCGGAGCUGUGCGGGAUCUGGAGGCUAUCAGAGUGGUUCCUGCUGAGGCCCCAGGCCUCCCACCCACUGUCCCCCACCCUGGGGCAGGGCUGGGUCUGAGGGUCCAUUCAGCAGCCUUCUCUUCCCUGUGCCCUCAGAGCACGGGAUCCCCACCUCAGUGGCCUU